AGAGCAAUGCCUGGACUUCCUUGCUCUCGCUGAGACUUGGAUAACACCGUCCAACACAUCCACCCCUGAGGCUCUCUGCUCCGCCCACUCUUUCUCCCACACACCCAGAUCCACUGGCAGAGGUGGCGGGACAGGCCCAUUGGGAGACGUCUUGGAUGAACUAGAUGUCCUCCUCCUUUCAAACACCACUUGUGCGACUUUAACAUCCAGUCAUCCGACGAGUCAACCUCACUGUAACUCCACUUCUCUGAUCAUUUCUUCAUAUCCUACUCUCUCCCACUCUCCCAAUCUGAUGACCUCAUCUCAUCAGCUACUGCACUCGUCUGUCGUAACAUUCGCCAAGUGUGAUCAGACCUUUGCUGCUGGAGCCUUUAAAUUGUGGACCAUUGAUCUGUUGACAUGAGAUGGGCCACAUCCCUAAUGUCUUUCAUGUCAAUCUUUCAUAAUCAGAAAGCGUAUGAAUAUUUACGGUAUACUGCUUUCAUUUUGUGUGUAACUUGUUUUUUUUAUUCUGGCGUUAUAUGUAUUCUUUAUUGAUGUAUAUUUUAAUUUUUAUUACUCCUCCUUGAUAUCAUGGAGUCAGGUCUUAUUCCUGUAAAGGUUAUUUUGAACAAGCUAUAGUUUCACGUUCAGGCUCAGGUGGUGAGCGAUUGACUAUAUUUAGUAUUCCAACUUUCAGUCAACGUAAUUAUUUUUCAAUGCAGCCACCUCCCCACGCUCUUAAAGCGAAUUAUGAUGAGUUUCAUUAAUGACUUACCUGUCAAUCAGCGGCUGAUUCUCAGUGAUGAUCACUUGAGUGAAAACAGUGCACAUUUUUCGUCUCUGUGUUUCCAUGGAAACAGAGCAGAUGUUUGGAGAACAGCUAAUCCAGGAGCUCGUCACAUUUCAGGAUGAGGUGCCAUGAAUAAACAUAUAGACAGAGACGGGGAGAGGCCGUCGUUGGCAGAUGGCGCUGACAUUUUUACUCGUGUUUUGACUGAAGGUGGUUUGGUUAAACAGCCAGUGUUGUUGGCGAGGACAUGGUUAAACAGCCAGUGUUGUUGGCGAGGACAUGGUUAAACAGCCAGUGUUGUUGGCGAGGACAUGGUUAAACAGCCAGUGUUGUUGGCGAGGACAUGGUUGUGCCCAUAGCAGAAAGGAUGACGGACAAAGAAAAAUGAGACCCACCUUUGUUUGCCUGUGAAGGUUUCUGACGUUCAUCAUCUCUAUAUAUAUCUAUAGAUAUAUAUAUAUAUAUGUAUGUA